rnacentral:rRNA from 1 species
GACGAACGCUGGCGGCGUGCUUAAUACAUGCAAGUCGAACGGAAAGGCCCUGCUCUUGUGGGGUGCUUGUGUGGCGAACGGGUGAGUAACACGUGUGUAACAUGUCCCUGACAUUGGGAUAACAUCAGGAAAAAGCGGAUAUUACCGGAUAGGAGCUUUUGCUGCAUGGUGUGGGAUAGUAAGAGUCGGUGGUGGGGUAUGUACUCGCGGGUUACCAGCUUGAUGAUGGGGUUGUUGCUUACCAAGGCUUUGAGGGGUAGCGGGCCUGGGAGGGUGAACGGCCAGACUGGGCUUGAGAUAGGGGCCAGACUCCUGCGGGAGCCAGCAGUGGCGAAUAUUUCACAGAGGAACGCAGCCUGAUGCAGCAACGCCGUGUGCUGGAUGACCGCCUUCGGUUUGUAAACCGAUUUCGCCUGUGACGUGGCGUGAGUGUCGGUGAUGGGUAAAAAAGCACCGGCUAGCUACGUG